UGCACCUUUUACCUCAGGAAGAACUGGCUGACUGGAGGUGGGCUGUCUGGUUCCAACAGGUAAUGGAUUCUGGAAAACGUAGCAUUCUGGGAAGUACAGCAUUUUUAGAAAGGAUUUAUUGCAGAAUUCACCUUGUGGAAAUACUGCUUGUAGGUUUUGUUUUGGCACAGGGUCGCCUUUUGUUUCAGAAAAUUCAAAUUGUUGCAGAAUGGAAGCUGUUUCCUCCUGAGCUCACCUUGUUCGAGCUUUUAACAAAGAAAAGGCAUUAGUGCUGGGAAUAAUAUUUUUGACAUACUGGUUUUUGUAGGCUGGAUUUGUCUGAUUUUCAUAAGUAGCUUCAGUCUUAAAACAAUAAAGCGGCAUCUAAUGAAAUUUCGUGUAUGUUUAGAGAGUUGACAAAUGGCUUGAUAAGUGUGAUGAUGGUACUAGUAUUAUAAAUGAGUUAGGUAAAUGAGAAGUACAUUCACAUCACAGACACUUUUGCAUGUAUCACUUAAGCUAGGUUUAGGAAGGGGCAGAGGAAAAGGGGAGCAGUUCUUAAUUUUAGCAGAUCAAAUUGCUGUUAACCUUUAUUUAGAGUGUCUUUUAGCGCUCGUUUUCUGUCCUGAAUGAUUUUCAUAUCCUGAAACAACUUUCUCCCUGAGGUUGCUGUGUUGCCAUUUAGCCUAAAUCACUUUAGAUAGUAGGUGGGAAAUGUAAUUCUUCAUUCAGAGUAUAGGGUUUCUUCCAUGGUAGCAAAAGGAGCUGUAAAGAGAAACUGGAAAGAGGAAAUGAAGAGUACAGAGGAAAAGGUAAAAUAGUGCAGCCAACCUUUGAAAAAAAAAAUCAAGGAGAGACUGCAAAUGUUCUUUCUUGUCAAAAAAGAAGUCUAUGUAUGAAAUACAAAAAAAAAAAAAAACCACAAACUUUUUUCCCCCCCUGAAUUUUCAUGAGACAGUGCAUGUGCCAGUGUAUCAGCAAUCCUCCUAAUUGGUUUUAAAUGAAAAUAUACUUCUUGCUGCUUUAUACUGACAUGUCAUUGCAGGGCUUAAUUGGAAAUUUAUAGCUGGCUAAAAAAGAAUUGAUCUGUUGUUUCCACAGCUCCCUCUAGGCAGCAACAGUAAUCCACACAUGAUUGAGGGAAUUCUUACUACAAGUCAAACUGAAAGCAGCAUUGUACAUGCAGCACAAAUACAGCCUUGGUGCUGCUUUGUAUUUCAGUGCUGUUGAGUGUGUGUCAGCAGCAAACCAGGGAGAAAAGAAACCUCCAGAUAACACCUCAGAAUUUGCAGUAAGAAGUUUUUUGUCAAAACUCAUAUUACUUCUUAGGUUUGAUUUGUUACAGCUUUGAUUUCACAGAAGACAUGGAGUACUGUAACUUUUCUUCACUUUUCAAAGAAAAGCCACUGUAAUUUCAUCUGAAACCAGCAUGGGUUUGGCAGUCCAACCAGUUGUCAGUCUGAAUGUUUGAAGCAGGGAGUCUCUUCUUGGCAGCAAAGCAGGUCUUAUAAAAAUAUCACAGUAUGUAUGCAAAUAACAAUCCAACUAUUUCAGUCACUUUGUAAUGACUGUUUAGAGAGCUCUUAGAUAUGGGUUGUUAAUGAAAUCGGUGUUCACAACAGAUUUCAUUCCUUAAAAGAGAGAAGAAAAAUAGAGAACCCAAAGGAGUCUCCUCAUCACAGCUGCAUUUUGAAUAGCUGAGAACCAAAAAUGAAUAUGCUCCUUCUCCUCGAAUUCAUUAACAAAGCUUCACAAGCUUCAGUGGAACUGUUGAAGGUUUGCAGCAGUAAGGAUGUGAUGUCAGAUGGCCACGCAGACAAGCCCUGUCAUUGCAUAUAAACUGGAUGGCACAGAGAAGUCCUCCCAAAAAGCAGAAUGCAGAGUGCUCCUGUUGCUUGAAGACUUGCUUGUGCCCAGUGGCAGGAACAACAGAAUCUCCUGAGGAAGCAGCUUUUCAACCCACUGUGCCACCUGUAGCCUCAGAGGGAAGAUGUGCAGUGCUAUGUUUGGGAGCUGUACGACACCCCAAAUAUAACAGAAGAGUGCACCUUGCUUGGAGACUGUAUUUAUUGUGACCAUGUAAUAUCGUAAUGGAAAUCCAGGUAAAGUUCUGUCAACUGAAAAAUGUUUUUCUGGCCAGGAACAAAAUGAGAAAGGUGCCAUCUGCAAUAUUCAGAAAAAUGCCUUAUUAUCCAAAUACUAAUAAAGAAAAGGCUACCAUGUCACCAA